AGCUCCAGUAGCGUAUAUUAAAGUUGUUGCAGUUAAAAAGCUCGUAGUUGGAUUUCUGGUUGGAUAGCGCUGAUCCGCCCUCAGGGUGAGUGUCGGCUGCUUAUCUACCAUCCUUCCACAGCGUAUUUCUACCUUUUAUUAGGACGGAUUUACAAUGUGGAACUUUUACUUUGAAAAAAUUAGAGUGUUCAAAGCAGGCUUGCGCUAUGAAUACAUUAGCAUGGAAUAAUAAUUUAGGACUUUGGUUCUAUUUUGUUGGUUUUCAGUACCGAAGUAAUGAUUGAUAGGGAUAGUUGGGGGUGCUAGUAUUCAGUGGCCAGAGGUGAAAUUCUCGGAUUCACUGAAGACUAACUUAUGCGAAAGCAUUCACCAAGGAUGUCUUCUUUA
rnacentral:rRNA from 1 species